CAUGUUAGAUAUGUCAAAAGUUGACAACACUGCAAGGAGUAUUGUUGAUUUAUUAUUCCCUGUACUGAUUUGAACAGUCACUGAUAUUGGAUAUUGCUCAGAAGCUGAUGUAAAUAUUGUCAUCUUCAAGCCGUAUAUAUAAAAGUUGCACAGGCUGAAGUUCAGGCUGAUCAGAUGGCCCUGCAGAGAGCUUUCUGGCAUUUAAAAUCUAGGCUGUAUGGGGAACACACUGCAUAUGUAGUGUUAUGGUGCAUAUUCUAAAAGGGGAAGUGAGAUCAGGACAUACCAUACACCCCUGUGUUUGGGAAGGUCAUAGUUAAUCUUAUGCUAAUGGCGUGUGCUGCUAGGGUAGCCCGUGGUGCUGGGGAGGAAUACAUCCUGGUACUGCUGUAACUCAGUCUGCACUCCAGUUUUGUAAUGCCUGAGAACUCCUAAGCACAGCUGCUGCUGAAUUUAUUCCUCAAGACCCUUGAGCAGACCUAUAUUGGGUAUUUCCUUUGGAAAGGAGAGAAGGCCUGGUCCUUCUGAAUGCUGUGUCCAGUCCUUCUGAAUGCUGUGCCCUCUUGGAGCAGGGACUGAGUGAAUUCUUUGUCUUCCUUGUAGUAGAUCCAGGAAACGUCUUGUUCCUGGUGAUAGUCCAUCAGGGCUGCUUUGAGGAGAUGCUCUGGCUGGCAUUCAACUGAAGCCUUGACACUUGCUCCAGAAGUGCUUCUGCCAAAUGCUUUGCCACUUACUGCUGCUGAGCACCAACUGUUCGCUCUCUGCAAGGUGGGGAACUGCUGGAAAGUGGAUGUGUUUGGUGAUUCAUAACUCCCAUGAAUGCAUCCCACUAAUUCCCAGCCAAAAUACUUUCACCCUCACUCACACCAGAUACCACCUUUACUCCAGGAUCUUUUCCCUCAGUCCUGCGGACUGCAGUGUGUAAAUGUGAUAAAAGGUUUAGUGCAGAAAGAGGCUCUGGGGGCUCCUCUGAAAAAACAGAUGGGUUGACCUGAGGCAAGAAACAUCAGUAUGUAGUCAGCAGGCAUUCCAGUUACCAAAGUAACUUCUGUUUUCAUCUGUUACUGCUGCUAGUUGCUAUUGCCAACACAGAGGAGAUAGCAGGAAAAAACACAGUUACCCCUUGAUUUGGCUCUAGGAAUAUGUUGCAAUUCAACAAGAAGCAGGAUCAAUUUAAGUAGGUGCUUUGAGAAGCUUUCUCAGCUCUCCUAGUUUUCAGUGGGACUGUGCUAAUCCUUCAUUGGAUCUAUAUUUAAUAGAAAGCCAGACAUGAUAUUUCCUCUGGAUCUUUAGCUAUGUAUAGCAGGGAUUUGUUAUAAUAGGGCCUAUUUUAAGCACCUUAAAACAUGUGCUGACACUAAAGUGGUUUAAGGUUCAUAUAUGUUGAUGCCAAAACAGUCAUUCAUCUGCACUAUUAGACACCAGAAAAAUCAUAGUCAACCAGAUUGUGCUGCUUGUGCUGCUGCUGUGAGCGGUUGAAGUCCACGUUUCUCACUGAUAGCUCAGGUCUGAGGUAAGUGCCUCCUGAGUCUGCACAACACCAGCCCCCAGAAGUGAGGCUGUAUAGCAUGCAGUCAACAAAUCAGUUACAUCUGUUUUCCCAAGGGAAGGGGAUGAAGUGGCUGCUGUUUGUGCCACUGAGGUUUGAGGCAGCGGGACGAAGACCCAGGGUGGAAGCAGCACACACGUGGAAAACCACAGACUGGAGACACCAGGCCUGAAGAUCCUAAUUUGUAGCUGACUCUUUCUUCUGGGCCUGGAUCGUGGAGCUGCUUCUUGCCCCAGGGUCAGUGUCAGAACACGGCACCAGUUUGAACCCUAAUCUUCCACAGGAUGGAAGCUCAGCCUCAGGAAAUAGGGAGCAUCAGGUCAGGUGUUUGUGUCUCCCCGUAACGAUUUGAGCUCACUGUGUAGAGAAAAGGAAUGUAAUGGUGUCUUUACUGGCACAGCAUUUGAAGGACCUGGAUGUGAGCAUCAGGCAAUACUUCAAGCUGUUGUGACCUAAUGAUAUUAGCAGAGCCUGGAAAGGAAGAAAUUGUUUUCCUGCUGGUGUGAAGUGGUGGAAAAAUGUUGUAGUACCAUUAAUCAUGAAGCUAUGGGCCUUGAUAGCCACUUCCAUCAUAUAGAGAUGAGUGUUCUUUUCAUCAGUUCUUUUCUUCUGUUUCUCAUCCGUGAAAUGGGGAUGAUUUUGCCUGUUAAUUUCCCUAGAUGUAAUGGAAGGAUAUUUGUCCUGUUCUUUGAACUUAUAUUUGGUUAUCUAGUGAAAUGGACGGACUUUAACUGACCAAAUCCCAUUAAGCAUAUCUAGUCCUCAAAGAGAUGCCUGGGACUGAAUCUGCUAGCUACAAUAAGUACUGUUCAAGUGUGAAUUGGGCCAUUUCAGCUGGGCUGAUGAUGUUGAAGGCUGUUGGGAGUGAUGGGAGCUGGCUCAUGCUUUGAGGGGGCAAUGCCAGGCAGGAGUUGGUCACCGAGUGACUGAUACUGCCGCAUCCGCCCUGCUCCCCUCCCUCAGGCUAAAGCUUUUCUUGGAAACUUUAGCUAUGCUGGCUCUGGCUGGGCUUCUGGGCAGUUUGUGGAAAACUUAAACAUCCUUGUACUUCUGCUCACUUUCAGGUCUUCAAUAAAGCACAGCAACGAGCCAAGCCCUGUCAACUUAAUCUGGUUAAUGUGGCCUUCCAAACAGUGAUGGAUAAAAAGUUGGCCUCAGCCCCCCAGUUGGUGGUAGUUAUUUUCUUUAUGGCUAUUCCUAGCAGUCUCCAGGGUGUUCAGGUUACAGAAAAGGGGUGACUCAGCUAUAUCAACAUCUGAGCUGCCUUACAACGCUGUCUGUCUCUCAACCAUGUGAAGAGCUUGAGCAAACCCGGAGUGGAGCUGUUGCGUGUGGUUAGCUGAGCUGAAUCUUGGCCACGGCGGGAGACAGACUCUUCUCCUUUGCUCAAUGAUGAACCAUUGACAAGUUUGGCUGGUGCUAAAGUUUAGCAACCUUUGUUUUAGAAAUUCAGAACUAAACAACAGUCUUGAGAUGUUUGUUUUGUUUGGGACUGAGAUACAGAGAACUUCAGCAUGUUCUGACUUUUUCUUGUCCACGAAGUAACAUUUUAUUUUACAGCUUUGCUCAGCGUUAGCUGGAGUCAGGGCUCAAGAAUCUGCCCAAGUUCACACUAUCUGUGGCAGAGCUAGAAAUAAGCCCCGUGUCUACAGAGACGUGGCCUUCGUGACAGGCAGUUCUUGAGGUGUUUUGUCCCCUCCUGCUGUGUGAACAGAAGGCUGGACUGGAGCGCCUGCCUUGACGGAGUUUUUCCUUUUGCAAGGAAUAAAGGAGGAUUCACUCCUUCCAGUGGGAGUGAGGAUUGCCUCUGUGCUAAAGUCCAUGAAUUGCAAGUGAUGAAGCUGAACACUAUGUACAGAUCAGAAAUGUAGCUUUGCCUGAGAAUUAAAGAUUUAGGAAGAACUGAGUCAUGGCCUUGGCAGUGGCCUGGAACAUACAGCAAGUAUUUAUGUUGGGUGUGGGAUGUAAUGCUGCUGCUCGCUACCAUUGCAGUAAAAGCUUUAAGUCUGUCUAGUGAUGAUUGCUGGAGACUUCCUGGGAGCAGGAAGCUCAAGAAGGCUGUUAGGCAAUGCUGUGGGAUUUCUCUAAACCAAAUCAGCUUACUAGCCAUUGUCUUAAAUCUCUAAACCUGCUCUGCUCCCCAAGCUGAAUGCACCCGUUGCUCUCAGGCUAAGUCAUGCAGUUUAGGCACUUGGAUUAGAAAGCAGGAGGCACGCUUUUUUUUUUUUUCUGGGAGAUGGAGGUACAAACACAUCUAGUACAAACAGUUUUUUCCCUUUACUGUCUGGGUGGGGAGGAAUUUUUUAAUAGGAAUGAAAAAAUGAGGUGUAAUUCUUUUUCCAUGUGGAAUCUGAGGGGGUAGAAAUCACACCUCCAAUAAAAAGAGAAAAGUAUAUUUUUGGAUCUGUUGAGGACACGAAAAUCUUCUUGUUUCAGUUUAGCUUCAACAGCUGAGCUUGGAAAAAAAAUCUGUAGAAGAAAGAAACAUUGUUUUAAAUAAAGCCACUUUAGGCUCUUGGAACUUUUCCCUUGAAAAAAGUUGAAAUGAAACAUCUUGAGAAAUUUGAAACUUAAAGCUCAUCUGGAAUAACCCUUUCCUGUGAAUAUGUUCAUGAGGUCCUGUUUGCUCCCCUGCUUUGGUGAUAUAUUCCUAGACUAAUCCUUCAAAGUCUCUUCCCCGCGCUCAAACCAAAUGUUAUUCAAAGAAUGUUUCAAUGGAGGGAGUAGAAAUGUCAAGGUGUAUUUGUAUUAGGGAGCACCUAAUAUCACAGUUUGAAUCAUACGAAUGAUGCUGUACUUGAGACUGGAGAGACCAGCAUGCUGAAGGCUGAGUGCUUUGGUUUUUUUUCCCCUACUUUCCUAAUUUCUGUCUACAAACAUAUAUUGUUGCCAUGCUUUGAAUGCUGUUGGGAAACAGAACUUGAUCACACUUUCCUAUCGCUUGCCUUCAGGUAGCCAAGUUACUUAAGACCAGUGUGGGGAGAGAUUGCUGGCUGGGACAACUCAGAGCAUCUAGAGUAAGCUUCUGCUGUGCCUUGCCCUCAGGGGCAGUUUUUCUCUGUUAAUUAUUUAAAGAGAGAUUCUGUCUGGCUGCGUUUGGUCCCCUAGAACAGCACGAUGUGAUAAUCUCCCCAUGAAAUCCUGGCUUGCUGAAACAAUGAGAAUAUCCCUGUUGACACCCUGGCUUUUACCUGCAGCCCUACAGUGACUGAGCAUGACAUUUCUUUUCAAUCCAGUUCUUCUGGGGGCUCAGCUUCUUAAAAGGAAAGCCCUAAGGACCAUGUCUGGACACUGUGUCUCCUAGGUAAUGUAAUGGACUGUGAUCCUUAAAGGCUGCUACAUGCAGGGAAGAACUUUGUCUGGUACAAACAGGACAGCCAUGUACAGCUAUGGUUAACGUAUGCACUCUGCUAUUCGGCUGAGACACAUCCCUCUUGGUUUUGCUUGCCAUCAGCUUCAGCUGCCAUCGUGGUCAUACAGAGUACAAAGGCAACACCAAGCAGGAGCUAUGUUAAUUGGUUUAUCACUUUUUUUCCUCUAAUCUUCCAGUUUUUGCCAUCUUCUGUUCCUCUAUACCUGUUGUUUUAUAUGGAACACUUUGAAUGGAAACACUCUGAGGUUUUUAUCUGCUGUUAGUUGCAGGCACCAUAACACUAAGCAUGCAGACAGAGCAGGACUGAAAGCUGGUGUUGGGGAUGCCAGGACUGGGAUUCUGUAAGUUUUAACCAACCAGACUGCCAUCAUCUGCGUAACUUCCCCUCAGAUCACCAUUGCUCAAGAGGUAGAAGCAGAAUCCAGUGUGAAACUUCUCAUGCUACAAGGUUUGCGUGGUCACACUGACUAAAACUUCCUGAUGAGUUAAUUCCACUGAUGUGGAAGGCCUUGUGCAUGUCCCAGCUGCUGGAAAGGGAGCAGUGGUUCCGUGCAGCCAGGAAGAGCCAUGCUCUGUGUUCUGUGGCUCCCCCGGGGGCUGGUGUCACUGCUGUCUGGGUGCCAGUGGUGGGAUAUAGAUGAGAGCUCUGCAGGUUACUGCUUGGGCACAGGUAGAUUAAAGCACCAACUUGCAAAGGCCAUGUAAACUCAACUAAUCAGGCUUAAAAAUGGCAAAGCAAAAUUAGUGUGAGCCAAUAACAGGAGAAAGCAAGUAUUUUCUGUGUUUGAGAAUAUAAAAGCAGCUCUGCUAGAUCAGAUUAUAGGCUUGCCUGGCUUGGCAUUUCAAUCCUCACAUGGUGCAGGGUUAGAGGUCUGGUGAGAGCAUAAGAAUAGAGCACAUACGUAGCAAUACUUCACCCAGAUACCCUCGGGGUCUCCAGCAGCUGUGGCUGGGAGGCUUCCUGAGCCAGAAAUGGUUUCUUUGUUUAUUCUCAUUUUUAUUUCUGAAAACACUUAUCUCUUCCAGCACAGGGAAUUGCAAAAGGUCCUGCUGCUACCUGCUUCCACAGCCCAGUGUAGCUGGCCUUCCUGGGUGCAACGUGACUUCUUGGUGCAGGUCGGCUUAGUCUGGCUGCUCUUCUUCCCCGUGGGGCUGUGGUUUGCCUGGCUUGGAGGACAGCCUGUGCUCACAGAGUGAGCAGGAUGUGCUCCGCUGCCUUGAUGCCAGCACGGGUCUGAAGGGUGGCUAUCAGGAAGGAAGAGGGCAGCACUCUCAGCUCUUAAGCUGGUAAGAGAGGAAACCCAGGCUGUGGUUUAUCUGUUGAAAAUAGUGCUUUCUGCAGAGGCAGACUUGGCUCUUAAGUGAAAAAAGUCAGUUUGCUACUGCUACAAGCUGUGUGUGUGCUGUCUCGUCACGAUAUUACCUUGAAUGCCCUGGUUUCCAUGUCCAUCAGCUGGAAUGGGACCAGUUUUUGCUGUCACUGGGACAGCAACCAUGCCCAUUGCUUUUACAUGUACUUUGCAGUUCAAACCAAAUCUGAUUUGCACUUGGCAUCACAGACUAAUGAAGUUGAGCACAUGCAGGGACAGUGCCAAGCAAUAACCCUUGCCAUAUCCCAGGACUGCACUAGAAGUCACUCUUGUUCUGUACUGAGGCUGUUCUGGUAGCUAUCUGACAGUAAAGAAAUAUGUCACCACUAAGGAUACCACAAAACUUCUUUGUAUGAUAAUGGAGACAUUCCUUGUCUGGUUUCCUAGUGAAUCACGGAGUGAACACUUACUUGCCAGGCCUCCUACUCAAAUGUUUUCUGAGAAUAUUAGUCUAGGGUCCUGAUGCUGUUCUCCAGAAGUCUCCUAGGCAGCCAAGCCAAGACAGCAGAAGGUACUUCAUGAGCCAGUCCAAGGUCCUACAGCCUCCAACCUUUUUGCAUUAUGAAGUUUCCAUUGUGGCUUUGCAAGACCAGAGUCCAAACAUGAAACUGACUAGUGCAGAAGGUGCAAUUCACUUGUUUCAGUGCACCACAGUGGUGUCAGGGGGGUUCAGGUAAAAGCCCCACUCUUCUUCUUUCUAGGAAGUGUGAAGUCUUGCAAGGAGCUUCAGGUAUGAAUCUCAGAAGCAGUGUUUAGUUCUUUUCCAGUGUAAUCACUGGGAAAUCUACUCUAAUUACUGUUUAUCUGCCUCUAAAAUACUGUAUGUACCUCCUGGAAUGAAUUCAUAGUAUCAGUAUUUAAUAUUCUUGGAUGGAAGAGGGGAUGAAAAUGCAAACCUGAAUAGGUGGAAAGGGUCAGAGUCUGAAUCAGUGCUCGAGGGUGACAUACAUUUUCUGUGUGGUUCUAAUAAGAUUAAGGUAAGUACUUUGCAAAAUGAGUGGCUUCAUCUCUUGUGUUUCCUUUUUUUUUCCCCCAGUGGCUUGAUCUGCCAUGCUAAUAGGAAUACUGUUACUUCAAAAUUUGAUGCCCUCCUUUUCUUCUGGCGCACUGAACAAAAUGCUGGAGCCUUAACCACAAGCCUUGCUUUAAUUAGGCCUGUUUCGAAGAGCAGACAUACACACAUGCUGUAAAGAAUUAUGGACUGUCCCUGCCAAGGAUGCCAUCAAAUGACUGAGUAAAAAGGAACUUUUACAAACAAAUAAAACUCGUUACUGGGGGAGGUGUUAUUAAUGAAAGGCCUGCAAACAAAAUGCACUCUGUCUGUCGUUCCCAACCACCACUUUUUUUUUUUGGAGCUCAUUUCUUUUUAGUAGACUUCAUGGGAUAAAUACCCUGCACUUCCUCUGAAGAAAGGGACCUGCAGGUUUCGCAAUAGCUCCUGUCAUGUCUGUCUGUCCACCCUUGCUGUUUUGCACAGAUGUAGUGACCUUCAGUCUGCUCUAAUGAGCACUAGGGCUGAUGAGGUGUGGGAAUUCAGGAGUAGGGGAAUGGAAAAAGAUAACACAUCUGGUUUGGGCUAGCUAGGAAACAUGUUGAUGGAGCUGGAAAAUAUGACUUGGCACUGAGGAUUUUGUUUAGUGACUAGAGGUGAAUAGCUGAGAAAUGGGAACUGGUUUGUCUUCCUGGCUUUUGGAUCCUGCAGUCAGUUUUCCUUUUGUGUUACCUUUGUUUGCCUUGCUGGCUGUUAGGGUUUUGCAGGGCACUGAGCUGACACUGUGAGAGCAGCAGCUCUUUGCUGCUGGGAGGUCACUGCUCCCUGGCAGAGCAGCACUGCUGUGUCCUUCCCAUCCAGCUCCUUCAGCAAAGCAAUUGUUAUUUCUUAGUGUAAUAUUAGGAGGCUGGUGAUACCUGGUCUGCGUGCCCAAGAGUACUUCAUAUCCUGGACUGGAUGUAGCUUUAGGUUCCCUAAAUGACCACUUAGGUUUCCUAUAUGAUGGUUUUAUUCUCCUCUCUUUUGCUGGCAUCCCUUAUCUAUCCCUUAUCUGCUUAGCUUGAUUGCUCUCUGAGCUAGAACCUGGUUCUCAAGGGAACAAGAUCAGUGACUAAAGCCUGUCCUCCCAGCUCUUUUCAUGGCAAAGAUGCCACAAAAGAGUGCCUGCUCCUCACGCCUCUUUAAUCACUGAUCUUUUCCCUAAACCCUUUAAGGAAGCAACUGGCAAUGUGAAGAAGAGAACCCACGUCUCUUGAAGGAUGAGAGAAGCCCAGCUCUGAGCUGGAGGCUGACUGGGGCUUUCCAGGGCAAACUGGAGUGGUUUGGCAGAUGCCUGGGGGCUGGAAGAGGUACCUGAAGGAGAAAGGUUGAUCAAGAGAAGUGGGAGGGCAAGGCCAAAGGACUGGGAUGGAGGAGGCAGCGUGUGCAGCAGUGGUGCUGGUCUGAUGCUGGUCACGAGCUCGAACAGCUGGUAGAAAAUGGAUGAUGCAGGAGCAGCGUUACUGGAGUUGGAAGCAGUCAAAGGCUUGGCUUCUUACACAGCAAAUGUUUCUGGGAAUCGUGAUGGGGGGAAAAAAAAACUCAGCUGGAGCAGGAGUGUGCAGCUGGGAGCUUAGAGACCCUGCCAGUUUCUCCCUCCUUGCUGUCAGUGCAAAGAAAAGCAAGGGAAUUCAUUUAAAAGGAUUUCACAUGAUGCAAUUACAUCUUUCCUGAGGUUUGUGAGGCAGAUGCCUUGCUGAUAUGUCUUGCUUUUGCAUCCUACGCAGAUUGCCCCUGAGGGCUGUAUCCUGGUUGCUCUGUCUACGCAAUCCAGCCAUGACUUUCUCCAGAUGAAAACCUCUGCUCUAGAGAAACCAAGGACCUAAGCUGCUGCUCUGAAUGAAACAGUGAUACUGGACAGCUUAGGUAGGAACCUUAGGUGGGAAUAACAGGGAAUUCCCCUAAAUGAGGGGAAAAAGUGGGAAUGAAUAGGAUUAACUCUGUGCUAGUGCUCACUGCUCCUUUCCUGCUAUCUGCAUAGCCUGGUAGUGCCCUCACUACUUAGUGCAACAUGUACUUUUAGCACUUCUCAGUUUCAGUGACACAGCACAUACAUGCUGUGCAUCUCCUACAAAUGCUUGGAAAACCCCCAUAUUGCAUGUCACUCAGCUGGCAUUCACAGGAACAGUGUGUUCACCAGCUAGUGCCUUGCAGUAUUUAGUCUUCAAGCUUAGGUGGCUGAACACAAAGCAGAGAUCAGGUCCCUCUGUUCAGGAGCUGUCUCACUUCAGAAACAUGAGCAGACGGCAACAUUUUCCAUGUUGUACCAUUCGAGCUCUUGCAUCUGGUGUGGCACGUGCCCAGCAAGGCUGCUGUUAGGCAAGGGGGUUUGUGCUCAAGGAUCUGGAUGCAGCUGCCUGCAGCAGAAAAGGCUCCAGACCUCCUCUGCCCCUUCCUGGACCCAAUAAGGCAACCCUAGAAGUUGGAGUUGUCCUGCCCAGUGUUUGAAUGCCCUCCAGUGAAAAGAGGAUCUCGAGGGAGGUGUCAGAGCAGCAGUAGCUAAAUGCCUUUACCUGCUAGAGCUUCUGACCGGUGCCAGGAGCUGGGGGCGGGUGUCUGUCACAGUGGAAGAUGUGUUAGUUACUCGCAGACCUCUGCCCACAUUUGGGAAUGUUUUCCUUCUUGCUUCGUCUUCAGAUGACCCUGGCUUAACUAAAGGGGUUGCUGCCUUCUGUACUGAGCAGGAGGGGAGGAUCAUAGGCACAGCCUGCAUCCUCUGGAUGAUGAGAAGGAUCAGUCCUCCAACAGAUGGCUUUCUCCCCUUCCUAGUAGUGUAAGAUUAUCAGGGCAGCUAUGCUUUAGGCCUUCCAAGUUCAACCCAUCCCACAUUUAUUUUGAAAAUGUUCUUGUGUUGAAUGCUUGUGGUCCUGUUUGUAAAACUGUGCUUUCUGAGAUUCUUGCUUGUGAUGGUCCUCUGCACUUUCUUUCCCUUGUGGCUUGAUGCUCUCUAGCUUGCUUCUGGGUUUGCGUUCACUUUCUCCCCAUCUUUCUAUGCAACCUACUUGGCACCCUUACAUUUGCUUGCAUCUCUCCUAAUUGUUUGUGUGGCUGAUGCCUGAGCAGCACGUAUUUCCAAGUGACCUUGGCACAGCAGAGCUGAAUAUCUGCAGCAGGGUGAUUUAGGCUCCUUGUCAUUACAGUAUUCGGUGCUCCACAGCAAGCUGGACCAGAAAGCAAGCCUUCAUUAAAAGCUGUAGAGAAAACACUGCACUUCGAUACUUUUCCCCCCCUCAGGUUCAGCCUUUCCACUCUGUUACGAUCUGUGUGCCCAGUGUCAGUGGGUGCAUUGCAGUGACUCUCAGACAGAUGUAGGUUAAUGCACAGGAGGUCUGUGGGCUUCCCCUUACACCUCCAUCUGGUUCUGCCACCUCGGGUAUUGCUUUUCUGGGUGAAACUGAUGGAUAGAUUUACCUGUGUAAGUAAGGAUGGCAGAAGGGAGGUAUUGUAGGAAAUAAAUGCAUCAUUAAAGACAGUGGUAAACGUAUCCACAGGGAUCCACAGCUUCAUGUGGUAGUUGUAUCUGUAAAGUGGGGGACAAAAUACCAAUGGAGAAUGUAUGGGGUAAGUUUUUCCACAGCUAUGAUUCUUCAAGAACUACUAUUUGAAAACCUUUAUAUUUAACAAAUCAAAACAAAAACAAAUUGUUUUUUUUAAUUGCAUCUAAUUGAUAGCCCACUUACUUUUGGGAAAAGUCUUACUCUGAAAAUAUCUAUGUUGGUCAAAAUAAACACUUUCCACUGGAGUAAAAAGACAGAUGUGGAAUAUUUUGACCCGUUGUAGUCUUCCUCCCAACUUUAUGUAGCAAUUAGUCUGGAAGUAUAAGUUUCUCUAAUGAUUCAGACUACUAGAAACAUCUGCUUUCCCAUGGAACAUGGGACACUCACUACAGCAUUUGAAAAUGGAGAGCAUGCAUCAUUCUCGUCUUAGUCACCAUAAAACCAUCGGCUCCACAGUUUAAGUUGAGGGACUUUAAUUACAGUGCGGAUAUCUUAUUCAGCCCAAUGCAAUGCACUUCUGGUUGUGCUGCGGGGAUCCCUUUUCCUUGGCUGGACUGGGGCCAGCUGCCCGUAUUUGGAGUGUGUGGCCAAACAUCAGAUGCAUCCGAAUAAGCAGAAUAAUCAUUAGCAGACUAAACACAUUUCAAAUUUGUUUAAAAUGUUGACCGAGUUUAAUGACUGGGAAAUGUCUCUUCUGUGACAUUAAGCUACUCUGUGUCCCUGCCAAUGCCAGUCUUUCUUGUGGUUAGGUCUAAAAGCUCUGAGUCCCCCUGAACUGUACCAAAAUCUUCCUUUAAUUGCAGUAACUGCUGGAUGGGGGCCAAUCUGUCAUAUGCCUGAGCAUCUACAAGCAUAUUAAUAGUUAUGUCUUCACAGCAGCCCCUGGGGAGUGAAAGGUUAUAGCCAUUAUCCUCCUCUUUCAGAUGGGAAAGCUGGAUCGGGAACAGACAAUCCUGGUCUGUUUAGCUUGGGGUGAUCUGGGGGAAGCUGGUGGCAGAUCCAGCUAAAAGCAGAGAUCAGUCAUUAGUUGAGUUCACUGCACAACCCGUGUUUCUUUAGCAAAAUUGGUUGGUGAUUGCUGGUGGCCAAGGAGAAAGGGAAACAGAAGUGUUUCAGUUCUCAGCAAUGUUCUGGAAGGGAACAAACAGAGCCCGUGUGUGGGUAACUUGUAUCCCUUCCUCUUAGUGCACCUGGUAGGUUACACCUACUAAUAACCAGUUUUGUGGUUAUGAUUUUUAAGGCUUUUGUCUGUUUUGGUUCUUAGUCCUGGUCUUACCCCAACAUCACACUCUGCUCCUUCUUGAUUCCUUUGCAUUUGUACUCAAAUUUCCAAAUCACAAAGGUGGGAGUAUCAACACUUACACUGAUUUGGAGAUGGAGCAGCGAGAGCUGAGACGAACAGCACAUGUGCUACAUCCAUCUAGGGGCUGAUCUGACCGUGUCUCGCACUGAUAUGUCUAGACCAUAGGCAGCAAGGGUGGCCAGCCCUUGUAGGGUCUCGUGCAAAUGCUCCCACAGCAAGAGGACAGCAGUGCUGCUGUAGAUUCUGGCCCAGAGGUGUGCACAGAGGUGUGCCUUUUGGCUAAAGCUCUGCUCGAGGUACAGGGUUACAGGAGUGCAGCCCUCCUGCCUACAUAUCUGCUCCUUUGCUAAUUUGACUGUUUUCUCCCAGGCUGUGGUUUUGGGAGAGUUUACAAUGCGUCUGUGAUCCAUAAAGAUUCUCUGGCUCCCUGUUUCUCUGGAGCUAAGGAUGUUAUUAAAUAUAGCCUCCCACCAAAUACCAUUAAUAAUCACAGACAGGCUUUAGUCACAAACCAACCUCUGUGAGUAAUGCAGGCAGAGCUAACACACUUCUUCCCUGGCCUUCCACAGGCAGUGGGAAUGCUGAAUAAGAGCAGAGCAAACAGCAAGGAUGGUUCUUCAGCCAAAAAAAAAGGUGCCUGCAGUCACUAGGUAUUGUCCAGUGUUAACAUUAAGCUUUCACAUGGCCACAGCUGAAACAUGUUGAAUAUACUGAGCACAGAUCCUGUGAAGUCCAGGGGUAGAGCUGCUUUUCCAUGGGCAGUCAGCUGGUUGGCAAGGCAGGAGCAGAAGUUUCCACCAUGAAACUGUCCUUUGAGUUUAACAAGACAUUUAAGCACAUACCUCCUGGCAGAGGUGAGGCCUUGGGCUUAGGGAUGCUGCUUGUAUUUAAGGUUAAACAUAAGUUUGAGCAUCUUGAUGAAGCGGUGCUUCGGAUGAGAGUUAAAGGACGAAUUCCUGAGCAAGCCUUUCCUACCCAGAGAUAAAGUUUUCAUCCUAGGCUUAAGUUCCUUACAGCUGAUCCUUGCCUUCCUCUUCUAAAAUCAUUUGUGUUGAAUAGCAAUGUAGCUGGUUGUUUCAACCUGCUCCUGUUAUGCGUCUGCCUGCUGCAAUUAUUUUUGUACAGUCAAAAGUUUAAUUUUUCUGUUUGUACCUACAUAGUAACCUACAUAGUAAAAGACAUGUUGACAUGGGCGAGAUGAGAACUGUUUUUUUGAAAUCCUUUGAAUGGCAAGAAUGAGGAUGUAGAAUUUGUGGCAGGUUGCUGUGUUUACAAACUGAAGGACUCAAAAGAUUUAGCUUUCCAAAGCAACUGCAGUCAUUAAAACAUCUUUCUAAUUGUUUCUGACUUUUCUUAAGAAUUAAAGCUUCUUCAGAGCUUUAAUUUUGUUCAGGACAGGGCACUCAGAGCUGAAGUUGGAUGUGUAAUUUGAUGUUAUGCUUAUGAAGUCAUGAAGGCAUCUGGAUGCAGUAUGAAAACCCUCAACCAAAAACUUUGAUGUUUCUUUCUGAUAAUCACAGGGCUUACUGCACUAAACCAUGUGUUUACUGGAUUUGGUUGGAAGACCAGGUAAGAAUCAAACUGAUAUUGUUGAAUCUAAAUGCUAAGACUAAAUAAAUCACUUCAGGGAUGGUCAACUGUGAAUGUUAUCUUUUCUCAAUGCCUUGUUGGUUCUUAAACAAUUAAUUCACAACAAUCAUGCAUAUCAAACAAAUUAGGUAGAGAGCAAUCUGUGCAGUGGGAAUAUGCUUGUAUAAUACAUACGGAUUCAAAGCAGCAUUGUUGGUAUGCUCUUAUCCUUAUCAGGAAAUAAAGAAGUAGUAAACUGUGCAUGUAGCCUUGCAUUUGCAACAUGUGACUCAUGUUUAAAUUCAUCAGCAUCAGUCCUGUAGUUACCAAGUGGGGAUAUGUUUGCAAAUUAUGUAAAAAUUUUUCUUUCUGUUAAUUUUUUUUUGCAGAGUUCUUAAAAAUAAGUGCUCCCAAGUACCCUUAACUUCUUAAUGCCCUCCUUUAUCUUAUCGUAGUCUUCAGCUUCAGAAGAAUUGCAGCCUGAGUGUUUAGUUUAAAAAAAAGAAAAGAAAAAGCAUCUCCUGCUUUUAUAGACAUCAGAAUCUUUGGAGAGACACUGAAUAGCAUGUUUGUCCUGCCUGACUCAUUUACUGCUAACUUUCCAGUGCUUUACAUCACUUCUAAAUAGGAAAACUCAGCUAAUGGUAAUAAAACCUGGGGCAGCACCUAUUAUGCAUUGUCCCAGGAUGGAGAGCUUUACCCUGGUUUUAUUGCUGGGUAUCUCUAUUGCUUCUAAACCUGCAGUUUGCAGAAUAAUGCAAGAUGUGGUGUACCGAUGACAUCCUUAUUUAUCUUUCCCCAGUCUUCUGUAAGCUUUUCAAUAAUAUUUGUGUUCUUAAUGUCUGAUAUGUGGUAAUGCUGUUACUGGCAGGUGUGAUGAUACCUGCUCUGAUGAGAAUAGCUCUAGCAGAUCAGUCGGGGGGUCCAUCUUGCCCCCCAUCACAUCUCCAGCAGCAGCCAUGGGUGGGUGCUGUAAGGCAGAGCUCAGCAUCGCUGUACAUGACGUUUUCCUCAUGUAUUCACCUGGCAUUCAACAACUUUCAGUAUGAUUUCUGUCACUGAUAACUGCGCUUUCUGUGCUGUGUUUGUAGGAGAGCACUGUUUUAAGAGAAGCUGUCCAUGAAGAAAAAGUGGCAUUGUUGGCUGUUUAUCUCCAUGUAUUUUCAUAUAUGCUAUUUCAUAUGUGCUUUCACCACUGUGUCUCUGCCUUAGAAGUUUCUAAAGGUAUCACAGACACCCCUAGGAGAGUUUGUUUCCGAGCUGAGCAGAAAAAGUUCAUUAAGUUUCUGAUUAUAGUGUUCCUGAAUUCUGCUUUUUCACAUAGCAAGGUCACAGCUGUUUAGUCCGUGAUUGGAAUUACCCCUCUAAGUAUUUCCAAGGAAGUCCUUGAAGUGAACUACUUGAAAUGAUGCAGCAUAAAAAGAAUGCGAUUGCUAUAACAUUUAUCUCUUCCUGUUUCCAAGGCCAAAAGAAGCUGGAAAAGAGGGAAUGCAAAGAAGUAUACUGGAGUGUGACCCUGGUUGGAAAGUAACUUUGUUCUUUAUGUUGGGAAGCUCUCUGCUAUCAGCCUGCUUCAGGAUGGCUGGCAAAACAUCUCAUGUUCCCUGCAUACACAAGCCCUUCACUGCAUUCAGCACAGUGAGAGAGAUCCUCAGUGAUCAGUAGAAAGGCAGACAGCAAUGAAAUGGUGUCAGUUUGUGCCAGCUCAUCUUUGCAUCUACAUUUAGGCCAUGUUUUCUGUGUUACCCAAGUAGCUCACAGAUUUGGAGCGUUUGUGUUUCUUGCACACCAGAUGAACUCUGCUGUAACUGCCUUCUGUUGUGCUCUGCAGGGACAAGAGAUCUUCAAAGAGAAGAAAUGCAUCCUUUACUACGAGAUAGGAAGCAAACUGGGAUGUCUUCCAAAGGAUCCGUGCCUGAAACUGAAGCCAGCUGACGACUGGCGGAGAGUUCCGAGUCUCUUGAAAUCCCCCUUCAAUCCCCACCCCUCGGCUUGGGGGGUUGCUGAACUGUAACAGGUCAGAGUUGAAAUUAACCAUGAGAUAUUUAACACUGAAGUAGACAGAGCAAAUACUUAAAUUGUUGGACUGAGUGUCUCUUCCCAAAGAGAAACACGCACAACUUGCUUGGUGUAAGGUCACGCUCAUCAGCAAGGUCCUUGGUUCCUUCAUACAGCUGGGAUGAUGAAACCGAGGCCAAAGCUGCAGGCAUCUCGCUGCGACGUAACAGAGGGGAGAUACAAAGGGCAGGAAAACCUCAUCUUGGAGAAAGGAGCUGGCUUUACAGAGGCAGGUGGCCCUAGGAGUUCAGGGUGCUGCUGGAAGCUGACAGAGGCUGCUCCAUGGAGAAGAGGAGAUGGAGAGGCUCCAUCCCAUCCAGGAUUUGUAUUUUCUGAAAUCUGUCCCAAGAGCGAUGAUGAAUACGUGCAUCACUUUGGAUCCGCUCAGAGCAAGCGGUUCCCAGAGACCUUCUCUGCCUGAACUUCUGAAUUUUAGCCUCCACAUCUUCAAUACACCCUUACUGUAUCUCAGGAGAGACAUAACUUGCAUGGAGAGACAGACGGCAGGGCGGUACUAGUCACUGCUGGCCCUGAAACGAAUUCAGUGGGCAGGAGCCAUUCCAGGGACAGAGACCAAGUCCCAGCUGGAUGUGUCCUUGGAGAAACAUUUCUUCCCUACUUCCUACAAGCUCUGAAGACCCAGUGUUCCUGAAAAUGAAGUCACUUGAGUCUGCCUGGAACACAUUGGAUGUCUUCCUAGCUCAGCUUUCAGGAUUGGUGCCAGCAAGAUUCACAUCUCCCAUAGCUGAUAAGGACAGCUGCAUGCCAGGGGAGCCAUCUGUACCCGACAGCAAUGACCAGUCACAUUUCCCUGUAGUACACCACCUUGGGGAGAUUCAUUUGCUGCUGCUGUUACAGAGAUAAGGAGGCUAAUUGCAGCUGAAAAUUUCAUUUCUGAUGGCACACCCAGCCCCAUGGUUUGUUUCUUCACUUCUUGUCAUACGAUAACCCUGAGCUUCUUGUCAGAGUGAGGGCUGCCAGCAGCAAUGGAGAGAGGUGCUCAUCUCUUGGCACAGAUGCUUUAUGUAGCCACAAACCCAGAGGGCUCCUACAGUGCUUGCUGCUCCCUCUUGCUCCUGCCUGUUCCUAACAUCUAGAAGUGGCCCUGCAGAAGCCACUUCCUGUUUUUUCAGUCCUCCAGCAAGGUUAUCAAAACAAGACAGCUUUAUCAAGAAAAAGCAUGCCUCACCAAAUGAAAACUGGAAGAUUUGGCUUCAUUUGAAGGUUUUGGAUCUCAUUGAAAUACCUCAGCGUGGGCACAGGCACUGUGUCAACCAUGUGGGCCAUCAGCCUCGUAAAAUGCACGUUGUGUGUGAGCUUCUGUGUGCCCUGAAACCUCAAACCCACUCUUUCAGUGUAACCUGAACUUAUAAUUUCUGGCUAGGGAGACUGAAUUAAGAGAAGCCUGUGGUAUUCUUCAGGGAUGGAAAAGAGCAUUUUGGAAAACCUGAACUUGCCACAGCCUGCUGAACAUCCAGCGAAUAGCUGCUGACAGGAAGAUAGCGCAUGGUGUGUGCUCUGUGGGGACUCGCUCCCUUCUUUCCUCUCCUUCUUGGCUUCAGUGCCUUCUGCUAGCAAUUUCCAUGGCUAUCAUCCUGAUGAUGUUCCUGUCUCAUUCAUCCCUCGGCUUUUGGACGUGGUCGUCAGUCACAGAGCAAAAAUCCUGACCUGGUUUGGCUCAGAACUGGUCACUGUUCCCAGCCCUCCCCACAAGCCCUGUGCAGAUUUCUGUGGCUGUGGACGCCUACAACUCUUUGAGUCUCACAAGCAGCACUGAGAACCAGCUCCAUCCACAGCUCCUAGCGGGGCCUCCCUUUCCUCCAAGUGACUCACAGUCGACAUCCACGAAGGCCCUUUCUUCCAGAAGGCACCCAAAGACCCUGGACGUGUUGCAAAAAAAAAAAAGGCAAAAGUCAUUUGGAAACUGCUGUAACAUUGGGCCAAAAUGUAAAAAAAAUUGCAAAGUGAGGUUUGCCUCCACAGGGAAGAGGCUGGCUCAAAUACAUUCCUCCCACCUACCUUCAGACAGACUGAGUCAUGCUGUGCAGCUGCUUCUCUCCCUCUGUUGGCUGCAGAGUCCUGCUUACCUAGCUUAGCGGGCCUUUUAACGUCUAGAGUCCUUGCAGGGUUCUUUAUUACCCUAAUUUCUCUUUUGCAGUGGAAUUUGGUGCACUUGCUUAGCAAGUCAGUAGGCAGUAUUCUGGAUGUUCAUGCGACACGAUGAACCAUAGGCCUCAGCCCAGCCUAACGCAAUGCACAGAGAGAGAAAGAACAUAGGGAGCUUGCUUCUUUUAGGCUCCUGAUUUUAAUAGGUGAGGAUUGAAAGGAAAUUGCCACUGUUGGGGUGGAUGCACAAGGAAUGAGCAACUACUGAUGGGCACUGGACAUCCCUAGUGCUGCUCUGAUGGAAGCACAGGGAGAAGCUCCACAGGUCUGUGAAACUCCAGGCUUUGAAGUUUUCAGGUAAUCUGUAAAAGCUCUCAGUUAUAUCUGUGAGAAGUCCCAGAAGUGCAAAUAUUUUUACUUCUUAUGGGCCUCCUCGCUAUUGAGACAGGCUGAAGUGCCCCUGGUCCUUCUGUAUGGUGGUAGGAGCUUGCCCAGCCACCGAGUAGCUGGUUUGUGUUUUAAUAUAACACAAGAAUAGACUAAAGAGUGUAAAACUUAUGGUUUUAAGGCAGGCAAAAAUUGUUUGGGUACAUGAGAAGGAUGCUCGCAAAUUUUGGUUAACGUUGUGUGUGUCUGAAGGCAGAGUUUGGAUUUAAGGAUCAGUUCUCUACAGUGCUGAGCGAGAGGAGGCUAAUUUUAACAAAGCUAUUUUUCCCAUAGCAUUUCAUAUUUCUGUGACUGCACAUCCCACUGUACUCAAAGUGCAGCCCUCACCGCAGUUGUUACAUCAUGAACUUAAUAUCUCUCCCUGGGAAAUGAAAGACUUCUUAGGAAAAAAAAAAAAAGAAAGAGGGGAGAAAAAGAAGGAAGUGUUCAAAAAAGUCCAGAAAACCUCCCAUUCCUCUAGGGUCCCCAGCUGUGCUGUGUGUUGUCCCAGCUGAGCUCCAGAUAUUUCCGCUCCGCACGUUAAUGCAUUCAAGGAGAAAUCAAAGCGGCUGUCUUGAGCGUGCUCCGGACCCGGGGUGUACGUCCUACCUCAGAACAACCCUAAUCCCUGAGGUUGCAGUCCUUUAAUCUUCCCUCCAGUAUGGGAUUAGGGCUGAGCACAAAGCUUUCCGGAGCUCAUUAGGGCUUUCUGCCUGUCGGUGUGUGAACCCAUAGGCAAAUUUUCAGAUCCUUCACGGCCCUUGUGGUCUGGAAGCCACAGUCCCUGCCAGAUCACUUCGGGUGAUGCAGCAAUUUUUUCCUUCCAUGGUAAGGGGAGGAAAAGCAGCGCUUCUCUUGUCACUAUUGCAGUGUCACUAUUGCGUGUCUUGUCACUAUUGCUUGUCACUAUUGCAGUUCUAUACUGCUGCUCUCCAAAAGGAUGCCUCCGCUGGUGGGUGGCCAAGCACCUGAUGGCCUCGAGGCAGCCCUGGGUAGGCAAUUGAUGCAGCACACCAAGAAGGGACUGCUGGAAGCCUUGCCUCAUGAGGUUGAUUCAGUCUAAUGCCAGCUGAAUCCCAGCCCUGAGCACAAAGCCAGGGUUUGGUGAGUCAUAAAAGGAAACCCUUGCCACAGUCCCCUCGUCCUCGUGUCCUUAAGGAAUCUCUGCACAGGGUUGUCACCACGAGGCAAAGCAGAACCUUGUGCCACAGCACCACUGCUCUUGGGGCCAGCUCUGCAAGGUGGGAGCCUCCUCUCCAGCCUGGUGCCUGCAUCCCUGCAGAAGCAUUUCAAGGCAAAGCAGGAGCGUGACGAACUGAAUGCCUGGCAAAAAUGAUCUGGCUGCCUCCUGGAUGAAGAUGCAAGGAGCUGGACUGACCUUGACUGGUGAAUUCAUGCAUGUGGUUUUCCUGGUUCAUAAAUCUCCGAGUUCUGAGCUGCUGUGGCUGUCGUGCAGACAUCCCCCAGCCCUAGUGCCCUGAGCUGUCCCUCAGGCUUCAGCAGGAUGGAGUUCGUGUCCUUGCCAAAAGGCCCCUUCCCUCCAGGUUCCCUGUUCCCUCUGCUUGCUUGCUUAGAUGGGAAGUUUGGUAGCUGAGAAAAAAGCCACGUCACUUACCAGCUAAUAAAGGGAAAACCGGAAUGGCAGGCAAAAGCCAUCAUGUGGAUUUAUUUUUUUUGGAAGCCUACCUACAUUUGUAUGUAUUCUGCAUUUCUAUGAAUGCUCAGAUAUAGGAUGUCCUCACGUGGAUUUUCCUCCAGCAACUUCAAAACAUUCUUUCCAUUGACUUCAGUGGUAAGAGCUCAACUGGAGGCAAAGAAACAAAGCAGUUUGGGGGAAAAAAUGAAGUGAAAAGUGAUAAAAUGUAGUAUUACUUGUGUAGGAUUGCAUUUCUUGGAAUUUGAGUGAUUUUUAUCAUCGGCUACAAGACUGCCAGCAUUUAGGCUAUUGCUUCAUGAUUCUGCUUUGAAAAUACUUGAAUUCAGUGGAAAUAGCUGAAAGCCAACAACUGCAGAAGCAUUAACACUGACAGCAGCUGACAACAAGGGAAGAAAAACUGCUUGAGAAGGGCAAUAGUCAUGUUGUUGGGGGUUCAAGAAACACAGGCUUUAUCCCUGGUUUUGCCAGGGACUUUGAGUGAUUUUUGGUGUCUGUUGGUUGACCUCAAGGGUUAAGAUGGGCUGUGACAUGAUCUGAACCACAGCAGGGGUUCAUUUCUCUGGAACAGCCCUGAAACUAGCCCAGGUUCCUCAUCCAAAGUGAAGCCUUUCUUUCCCCAAAGGAUUUGUGUUUCCUUCCAGGCUUGCAUCUACUUACAGGCAAUAGGAAGAGAAAGGUGGUUUUGAGAGCACAUGAAUUUGGGAAUAGAAAAUUAUGGUGAUGUUUUGAUGAGCUUCUUGUGCUCUGCUGAGCUCCGGCUCACAGUAGAGGUGGGUUUAAGGACUGGAGAAGAGCCAGAUUUGUACCUCGUAGCUUAAGUGUUGGAUUUAGGCACGAGAUGGAUGGUCACUACAGGGCAGAUGCUGUUAGGUGUCAUUAUAAGGCGAAUGCUGAGGAUCUGCGUGGCCCUGCUUUUCUUCCUUCUCCUUCCCAUGCCUAAUUGCCAUGUUCCAGAUGGGGAGAAACAUACCUUGCUAAUUUCUUUAUUUAGGCCAACAGAAAGGGCAAAGGCAAUGUAAUGGGUUUUAGCCUUAAUAUCCUUCUACCCCUGGUUACAAGGCUAUAGGAUGCAAUUGCGUAGCUGUAGGGGGAGGUCCUGGAGCUUUGCCCCAGCAUACUCUUUGGUAAGCCCCAUCACACAUUCAGUAGCUUUUAGGCUAUUUUGACAAGCUGUCCUCCAAGCAGCCACCACCGAGUGCGAAGGAGUCGGGGAGAUUUGCUGAUAAUUAGAAGUACUGCAAGGAGGAGAACGUGUUGUGAAAGGGCUCCAAAAAAAAGUGAAAUAACGGCUCCCUUCCUAAAAAGGAAAUAUCCCAGUAUGUUUUUCCUGGCAAAGGACUGCUGUCAGGGUCAAGAUCAGCAAGCAGUGCCCCUCGCCACCACUGCCUGCGUGACAAGCAUACAUCUCCUGACACAUAGCAGGGGACUUCACACCUUAUAAAAUCCCCUUAAUGUAGCUGUAACUUGCAAUAAGCAAACUUCAACCUAAAUAGUGUGUCUGUCCUAUAAAGAAGCUACUGUUUUCUGGCAUGCAACCUCAGGCCAUUAAUCUCGCUGCUCACAUUGCUCCGAUCCUCCCUGGGGCUUAACAAAUGUUUCGGGCACAUUGUUAGCACAACAAAUUAAAGUGGGAACUUGGGAAAUGAUACGCUGAGAGCUUAUUUGCACAGUUUAGCAGCAUAGACUCUUCUUCAACCAUGGAGCACAGUCAUGGGUCCCUCUUUGCAGUGUAGGGAAGGUGGUAGUAGAGGAAAACCAAAUACACCAUGGGACUCUUCAGUAUGGGAUGGCCCAGCACAGCCAGAGCAGCUGCUCAGAGAAGCUGUAUUCCCCAUAAUUUAGCCUCUUGACCUAUGCAAGCUUUUAUUUUAUAGUUCUUUUCUCUGCAUUCAGCCCUUCAUUUCUCCAGAAGUUUCUCUCCCCCAAAAGUUCUUUGACAGCAUCUGACCGCCCGAUGUCUCAGCUUGCUUGCGGAGUUGGAUGAAACUCAUCUCUUUCAGGACGUAUCAGGUGAAGUUCCAAUGGCUGUUUGUGCAGUCCAGCCCAGCAUGGCUUUUCAUAUUUAUUUGUCACCCCAGCUCUCAGCCCAGCCAUGGCUUGCUUUGUGCCACCCAGUGCUUACAUUUCUUGGAGUCUUUUCAAAUAAGGUCUUGUGUCUUCACAAAACCAACCACUUCGUGGCCUGGCUUAUUGGGAAAUAGAAAUUCAGAGGUGGCAAUCGUGCCUUAUUGGGAAACACAAAUUCCUGUUGCAUCUCAGAGGUGGCAGUCAUCUUGCUGAAGGUCUCAGCUGAGUCCUCACCCUCAUCCUGCUGAUUUCAGAAUGAAAUCUAGCACCAGUGCAACCAAAACUAUACAACCUACAAUCAGUAGGAAGCACGUGGCUGCUUUGACAUCGUUGUUCCACAUAUUUUAAGAUCACGGAUCACAAACAGGGAAACUUGUUCCAGAAAAAAAAAAUCACUGGGGCCAUUCUUUCACGUCCAACCCCAGUUACUGAGGUUAGUCUGUGGAUUAACACGUGCGUGCAUCGCUAGGUGUAGGCACGCACACACGCAUCACUUCAAGCCAGGGUGGUUCUCCUGCAGAAAAAAGGGGUGAAGUCUUGCCCUGAUUCAUGCAAUGGGCGUUUGCAGACGUGUCUCCCAGCACAGCAUCCUGGCCAAGCUGGGCAUGGAGCCGGAGGGCGGAGGAGUGAGGCUCAGUCCUGCGAGGCUGAAUUUUGGCUGCCCAUGCUCCAUGGCAGACCUGGCUCAAAAAAUCUCAGCAGCCAAUCUGCAAUUUCUGCCUUAAAAGCCAGUGAAGCAUCUGAUGGGAUUUGCUUUUGCUUUGCUUUCUUCAUCUUUUCUUUCAGGAGCAGGAAAAGUGGGAGUGAAGCCAGAGCGAUUACUGGGGUUAUGGAGCUGCCUGGUUUUACUAAAGUCACAGGUUCUGCCCCAAAAUCCCAGCUCGCUGGGGCUCAGGGAGUCUCCAGUCCUCCGUGGGAAGGAUCCAUGGGAAAGCUUCAGCAGGAACCCCCUAAAAACCCACUGGAAUAAGUGACAGUGGCUGUGAGGAAAGAAAGUUCUGGUAUUUUCUUAAGAAACCCUAACUUUUAAGGUAACAGCAGGACUUUCCCAAGUUUUGACUCAUCUUUUUUGGACGGGCUGUGGCCAGAGGUGGAAGCUUGGCUGCCCAUGGGGUGGCUACGAGGUCCCUGGUGGAGGCCACUGCAGCAGGGAGAGCACAGCUCCCACGUGCUUGGGAAAUCCUUGAUAGCACGAACUUCUUCAAAGUCCUUGGGUUCGCCUUGCGGGUUUUUCGCCUUUUUUUUUUUCCCCCCUUAUUUGCUUGUUGGCCUGAAAGCUUAAUUUUUUUGGAACUGGAUGCUCCCUUACAGAGAUGACAGCCGUGUGGCUAAUUCCCACUCGUUGGACACCUUUUCUGGGGCAAAUUUCCCCUUUUUCUGUGCCUCUCCAGCUCAUUAGCUCCAGGCUGGGAUUUAGGCCAUCGGCUAGCUUUGAAUUUGGUUGUUUUCUUUUCUGUCCUUGGCACGGGAGGGACACAGGCCAUGACUAAACUUUUCUGGUUCUGGUGCCAGCACAAUCAUGUGAGAGGUUCAGAGGCUGAAGAAAAUGCUUCGGAAUCGCAUCUGAAAAAGGAGAUUUUGCAGCUUUUUGUACAUCGGGCUGCAGAUUAAGAGGAGGCAAAAGUCAGACAACGGCAACCAUCAAGAAUUUUCCAGCCUGGUGCAUCUCUGGUAGCAGCCAGAAGGGCUCAGCUCCAGCGGAGCUCAGAGCUGCAGGAAGCUCCCCAGCUUUGAGGAAAAAAAAAAAACAGAAAAAAAGGCAAAUGGGGUUGAUCGUGCAACGGGCAGGAUGCUCCUGUGGAUGGCUCCGUGAUGGCAAUCUCCACCCUACCUGUCCCAGGCUUGUAAGACUGGAAGUAUUUGGGCAAAAUGUAAGGCUAUCUUUAGGUACAAUCCCGGGAUCUCCAACCCCACUGCUGUCUCUUGGAACCCUUAAUCCCCAGCUCUUCCUGACGUGCUGCUGAGGACUUCACCACCCACAGAGUACCAGCACGCCUUCACCCAGGAUUAGGACGGAGGUGGGGUUUACUGCCAAGCACCUCACCAUAUUCAGGUACCGUACACCUAAGGGCCCAAGACUCUUUUUCACUCCUCUCCUCUCUCUUUCGCUUCGUCCCUCUCCAGCCCAGGGGACUUUGUCUGUCCCCUCGUGGGACUACAGAGCCUCGCGGAUGAGGACUCCACACUCGCUCUGCACUAAAAGUGCAUCUCAUCCACACUCAUUCACACCAGAGUCUCCCCAAACCCAACCUGAGGCAAGAUACGGUAACGUUUCCCUUACCUCGGUCCGUGCACGGCUUUCCGGUCCGGGUUAUCAGCAGUAAUCCCAGUGCCUGUUCCCAGUCCGGGCUGGAAUAUAUGUGGGCUGUGUCCGUGUAUGUCUGUGCUGGCCUCCCUUCUCCCCAGAGCUUCGCAGAGCCUGGCUUUAAAUUAACAGCCUUGGUCCUUUGCUGGCCAUACCAAGAUGACCCACCGCCCGUGACGGGAACGCUUGUGCUGGCAAGAAAUCUGCGGCAGGUGACAAGAUCCCGGACGAGCCCCCAGAUUGUGAGAAACAUCUCAAAUAAUUUUCUUCAGACAGGAUCUUCUGUGAAGCUAUUUUAUUUGCGAUUGCAGUGGCGGGCGGCCUGUCAAUCAGGAGUGCAUUUUGAAAAUUUGAUGUUCAUCCCAAGGGGCCAGGGAGGGAUGAUGCCCCUUUUCAGCCCCGAAUCGGUUGCAUUGAUCCAGAAGCAGGACAGGGGAGGAUUUUUCCAGAGCAUCCCAGCAGCGUGGCCGCCAGGAACAUCAGGCUCUCCCUCCUGGCUUUUAUUUGCUUCGAAAUACCGUCCAGAGAUUUCUGCUGAAAAACCAGGGGAAAUGGGCCAAACAAUGAAGGUUUUGAGGAUGCGUUUUCAGCCCAGCACUCAGCCCUGCGCUGCUGGGAGGUGAAGGGCAGGGGAAAGCAGGUUGGAGGGAGGCAGAAAGGCAGAAUGAGGAGUUUAAUGAGCUGGUUUGGAGUCUGCGAGGGCCAGGCUGGGCAUUUUGGGGCUGCUCUCUAGCAAAUCUCUAGUGGCAGUGACAACUUUAACAUUCUGUAACACAAAAACUUGCCAGUGCUGCUUUCCAGCUCUAUGUUCCCCUCUCCACGCUGCUGCACCAAGGCAAGCAGGACGCUGGGAGGGAGCUUCCGAAGCAUGCUGUGCUGAGCAGGUACAAAAAUUGCUAUUAAACAACUUAAAUUCCCCUUAAAUAACUUUAUAUUUCACCCCGCACAGCCUUGGCAAUGAUGAAGGUCUGUGCUGACAGCAGUGGGUUUCUCCCAGCCCAGCUUGCAAGGAGCCGUGGUGAUGCUUUCUGAGAAACCGGUGUAAGUGAAGGAAGGGAAAAAAAUCAUAAUUGGAGGAAAUUACUCGAAAUUCUGCCUGCUAGCUAGCCUCCAGCCUCUGGAAAACGUCGCUGCGUGGCUGCAGCGGCUGGGCUGCUGCGGGCGGGUGAAGGCAGGAAGAAAAAUGACCCCGUGUCGCUCUUACAAACAGCUUCCCGAAAGCAGCCUGCGGCUAGGAAUGCUGCUGGAUGCAAUCCCUUGGAGGAGGAGAAAGUCCAGGGGAACGUAUUUUUGUCUUUCUGAAGGAUAAAUCAUCCGAGCCGAGGCUGCCCUGGAAAAGUUGCAGCUCGGGGGCAUUGCUGGGGUGCCUGGACAGGGAGGAUCUCACACCCCGUGAUUUAUGGUGGGGCUGAACCCCCCUGGGACUGCCAGGAGGUUUUCUGACAUUUGCAGACCCAAAAAAAGGUCUGCCAGGAUGCUGGCCUUGGAAGAAGGGGUCGUAAAAUAUUUUCUGUUUCAAACAAAUCUCCUCUUCCCUCCCCAGCCACAGUGUGGUGCUUGGCUCUGCUCCUCGCCAUCCCGUGCCCCAAACCAGCCUCCUGCAGCCGAAAUCUGCUUGGCAUCGGUGGGCUUUAAGCGCUGCCUCGUGCCCUCUGAGCCCAGCUCCCCAGGUAUGGCAACUUGGUGUUAUUCCUGUGGGGGAUGCGAUCAGUGAUAAAUUCGGGGUCACGGUGUCUCCCUUGGCGUAACCACCUGAAGGAAAAUCCAUACAAAGAGACAUCAGGACCUUUGAGGCAGAAUUGACGAGUGCCACUUGGUUUUGGAGCAGAGCCCGGACACGGGGCACAUCCCGAUGCAAGAGGGUGCAAAAUACUCCAGGAUGAAGCCACGCCAGGCACAUGGGGGCUCAUUUCGCUCUCCCCAGCAGCAGAUGCUUUUGUGCUUGGCGGCCGAACCCAAAAAUCUGCCUUGGCCUACUGGGAAAUGGGAGAGUUUCCUGGCUGGUGGCGCUCAUUUUUCUUUACGAGCUGACUUUGGAAGAGAGCAGAGCGGCAGCUCAUGGAAACUGGGAUGUCUUUCUCCCCGCUGUCUGCUCCUCCGUCCCGGCAGAUAAAGUACCGUCAGCACCAUAAAGGAUUACGUCUCGGCCCUGGUGUUGAGUCCUGUGGUUUUCACCAGCAGCCUCGUAGCUUGCUCGCAUCCAAGGUCAGCACGGGGAUCCAUUUGGGGGAAUUAUUUAGACAAAGCUCUGCAGGGCUGAUGUGUGCCAUGCUGACCCUGUGUUGGAGACCCGUACCAAGUCUCAGUGAGGUUCAGACCGAGCAGGCUGGAGCAGGACGGGGAGGCCAAGUCACCUCUCCGCUGACAGUGAGUGUUUUUACGAGAUGUCCUGGCAAUUAGUGGAAGAAGAGACGCAGCUGUCGAUGCACUGAAAGAUACAGUUUAUAGGGAGUGAUAAUAUCUUUUAUUAGGCUCCAGAAAGCAGGAUUUGGGGCACAUGAGUCCUGUUCUGAGCUGCAGCUGAGGGUGUGAGAGCAUCAGCCCCGCCACAGGGCACGUCCUCCAGGGAUUCACCGGGGCUCUGUGCCCCCUGGGACAGACCUGAGCUCCCCAGGGUGCAGAGGCUUUGCUUCCAGUGGGGCUUUUAUUUCAGCUUAUGGGGAAAUGCUGCGUUGAGACCAGCUUUUAGUUCUUUGCUGUCUCGUUAUAGAGCAGGUGUUGAAGAUUGAUGCUGUACCUCUCAAAACAAAGGCGUAGGCAUCAUCAGAUGGUGUGCGAGACGUUUGAUGUUAAGGGUAGAAGCCUGUCCUUUGAAACUAGUAAGCAAAAAACUGGGAAAUUAAUGGCUUCUCAGGCUUUUAAUUUUUGAUGCAGAUUUAGAUGGGGUGUCCUGCUUAAAGGAGGGUGUCCCUGGACUGCAGCAUCCUUUGCUUCACACAUCCAUCCCUUGAAUUC